rnacentral:rRNA from 1 species
CCUACGGGUGGCAGCAGUAGGGAAUAUUGCUCAAUGGGGGAAACCCUGAAGCAGCAACGCCGCGUGGAGGAUGAAGGUUUUCGGAUUGUAAACUCCUUUUGUUAGAGAAGAUAAUGACGGUAUCUAACGGAUAAGCACCGGCUAACUCCGUGCCAGCAGCCGCGGUAAUACGGAGGGUGCAAGCGUUACUCGGAAUCACUGGGCGUAAAGAGGGCGUAGGCGGGAUAGCAAGUGAGAUGUGAAAUCCUAUGGCUUAACCAUAGAACUGCAUUUGAUACUGUUAUUCUAGAGUAUGGGAGGGGUAGGUGGAAUUCUUGGUGUAGGGGUAAAAUCCGUAGAGAUCAAGAGGAAUACUCAUUGCGAAGGCGACCUGCUAGAACAUAACUGACGCUGAUGCGCGAAAGCGUGGGGAGCAAACAGGAUUAGAUACCCUAGUAGUC